UACGAAGGGGGCUAGCGUUGCUCGGAAUCAUUGGGCGUAAAGCGCACGUAGGCGGCCUGUUAAGUCGGAUGUGAAAGCCCCGGGCUCAACCCGGGAAGUGCAUACGAAACUGGCAGGCUUGAAUAUGGAAGAGGGUCGCGGAAUUCCCGGUGUAGAGGUGAAAUUCGUAGAUAUCGGGAGGAACACCAGUGGCGAAGGCGGCGACCUGGGCCAAUAUUGACGCUGAGUUGGCGAAAAGCGUGGGGAGCAAACAGGG
rnacentral:rRNA from 1 species